rnacentral:rRNA from 1 species
UACGUAGGGGGCUAGCGUUGUCCGGAAUCAUUGGGCGUAAAGAGCGUGUAGGCGGCCCGGUAAGUCCGCUGUGAAAGUCGGGGGCUCAACCCUCGGAUGCCGGUGGAUACUGUCGGGCUCGAGUACGGAAGAGGCGAGUGGAAUUCCUGGUGUAGCGGUGAAAUGCGCAGAUAUCAGGAGGAACACCUAUUGCGAAGGCAGCUCGCUGGGACGUUACUGACGCUGAUGCGCGAAAGCUAGGGGAGCAAACAGG